rnacentral:rRNA from 1 species
GGUUAAGUGACUAAGCGUACACGGUGGAUGCCUAGGCAGUCAGAGGCGAUGAAGGGCGUGCUAAUCUGCGAAAAGCGUCGGUAAG